rnacentral:snRNA from 1 species
AGAUGUGAGGGUAAUCUGGUUGUGAUAGUGGUCACCUCACUGACCACCAGUGUUGAUUCAGCUGAUCUGGUUUGCUAGGUGAGUAACCCCUUUCUCUCUCAUCACUCCAUGAGCAUCCCUGCCAAAGCUGUGUGCUUGGUCAAAGAGGAUGGCUUUCCCCAAAUAGAUAUGGACCAUUCUUCAGCUGAAGGUAUAAUAAGGGGCGGUGCUCCCCUGCUAGAGCCCCCAAACAAGCUCUCAAAAUAGGUCUCUACUUCUACCUGUACUGAAUUUCCCUACUCUUCACACACACACAC